GAAAACGUUUUAGGUCAAAUUUUUAAUAUAUAUGACCUCGUAGAUUUGAGUCAAGUAUUAAUCUAGAGCUCACAUCCAUCCAAAUAUGCGUAGGAUAAUAAAACAAUCUUUCAUUUGCCUAUUUUAUCACGAUUAUUGUUUACGCCUUUUAAGAAUUACCAAAGAAGUAGAAAAGAGUAAAAACAUACCCAGCUU